UACAGAGGCCUCGAGCGUUAGGCGGAAUCACUGGGCUUAAAGCGUGUGUAGGUGGAUGCCUAAGUACCUUGUGAAAUCCCAUGGCUUAACCAUGGAAUUGCUUGGUAUACUGGGUGUCUUGAGCCACUCAGGGGCGAGCGGAACAAACGGUGGAGCGGUGAAAUGCGUAGAUAUCGUUUGGAACGCCAAUGGUGAAAACAGCUCGCUGGGGGUGCGCUGACUCUGAGACACGAAAGCCAGGGGAGCAAACGGG
rnacentral:rRNA from 1 species